UAUAACCUUAUUUCACCAGACAAACUCAUCCAACAGAGACAACCAUGUCAGCAAAGGGUGCAGCACAAUGCAAAGAUCCCUGUGCUCCAGCACCAGUAUGCCAGGAUCCAUGCCCCCCACCACAAUGCCCCCAGCCUGUGUGCCAAGAUCCAUGUGCUGACCCCUGCCAGCAACAAGGCAAAGGACAAGGCGCAUUCGGUAGUCAGGGAGGAAUUGGGGGAGGAUUUGGGGGUGUCAAGAAGUGAAGAUCAUGGCAAAGUUCUUCCACAAUAUUGUACCUCAAAUAUGUAUAAAUGGAGAAAAUUUGCUGUUAUUUUUGUCUGUAUUGAUGAGAACAGCUUAAUAUAUCCUGAUCAUGUUCUAUUUCACUUAUUAAAUGCAUUC